rnacentral:rRNA from 1 species
UACGGAGGGUGCAAGCGUUAUCCGGAUUCACUGGGGUUAAAGGGUGCGUAGGUGGGCAGGUAAGUCAGUGGUGAAAUCUCCGAGCUUAACUCGGAAACUGCCGUUGAUACUAUUUGUCUUGAAUAUUGUGGAGGUAAGCGGAAUAUGUCAUGUAGCGGUGAAAUGCUUAGAUAUGACAUAGAACACCAAUUGCGAAGGCAGCUUACUACACAACUAUCGACGCUGAGGCACGAAAGCGUGGGGAUCAAACAGG